UACGGAGGGUGCAAGCGUUGUCCGGAAUCACUGGGCGUAAAGGGCGCGUAGGCGGCUCGGUAAGUAGGGGGUGAAAUCCUGCGGCUUAACCGCAGGGCUGCCUUCUAAACUGUCGAGCUCGAGCACGGUAGAGGCAGAUGGAAUUCCCGGUGUAGCGGUGGAAUGCGUAGAGAUCGGGAAGAACAUCAGUGGCGAAGGCGGUCUGCUGGGCCGUUGCUGACGCUGAGGCGCGACAGCGUGGGGAGCAAACGGG
rnacentral:rRNA from 1 species